ACAGCCUGUAGUCACAGAAUGUUCUGGGCUCACCCUCUUCUCUGGCCUGGGGAAGUGAGGCUCAGCGUAGAGGCUGUACCCACAGGCACAUGACGGUCUGCACCCAGGCCAGGGCUCAGUGAGGAGCCGGAGUGUCCCGGCCUGCCUGGACUCCAGCCGGGACCUCCCACAUGAGGCUCAUUCAUCUAUGCCCAGGAUUCUCAAAGAACCCCGGCCCCAGCCUGCUCUCUGUCAUGUGCUGAGCCCCAAGCUUACCCAUGCCUCCUGCCGUGGGGACCAGAGAAUGAGAAGACCACCAGGGAGACCCGCCCUGGAGACCAUGGUGUGCUGCUGACUCACGAGAAUGACAUCACCAAGUGUGCCCUCUGUCCUGUCACUUGGAGCUCCUGGAAGCACAGAAUGUCCCUCAGCCUGGACACUGCCCCUGGCCUGGGGAGGUAGAUGCUCCCCACCUCCCCUCCUGCCCUAGUGCAGAGGAAAGAAGAUCAAAUCUGGAGUCAGCAGACAUAGGAGUCUAAUCCCUGGUUCUGAUAUAUCUAGGCAGUCAUUGCCUUAGCCACACUCAGCCUUAAUCUCCUGAUCUGCAAAAUGGGGAGAACCACACUAACUUUGCAGUUUGCGGUGAGAGUCAAGGAAACCCACGUGAGAAGUGUCUGGCACUGUGCCUCGCAUGUAGUAAGUACUCACUAAAUACUCGUUUACAGUUUUUUUCCCCUCCCUGUCUUAACCUUUUUUUCUCCAGUAAGUGACUGGGGACAGGAGUCCACUCUAAGAACCUCUGCCUGCCCUCAGAACUCCGUGGCCAGUGAGGGCUGCAUGACCCCUUUGUGCUGGGAAGGUGCAUCUCAGGACACUGACCUGCCUGUGCCCAGGCUCAUGGUGUGGGCAGAGAAACUGUGGGUGAGACCUUUGUGAAAAUGGAAACCCAGAUGACCGGGAAGGGGAGGGGCCCCAGGAGGAGGGAGAACCAAAGGUCCUUGCUGUCUGUUAUUCCACCUGUUUGUUUUCCCCUAAUCCCCAGCCCACAGGGAGCUGCCACAUUUCCCCUGACUCCCCCAGCGGGCCCAGCUCAGGGGCAGAGGCCGAGCAACACAAGCUGAUCAGGCCACCAUCACUGUUGGCUUCUGUGCCCAGGGGGUCCCUGCAGCCACCAUCAGGAAAGCUCCCACCCUGGGGACAGUCUCUCCUGCCUCCUGUUCUUCCUGGGGUCAAAGACGUGCUCCUGCUCAAGGGUGAGCAGGUGCAUGGGCUGGUGCCACCAGCUGGUACAGUGGCUCCCUUCUGCUCCCAUGAGGGGCCUGGGAGAUAUUUCAGGGCUCUGUCCUCAGCCAAGCGUGGACUCAGCCAAACACUUGGGCAGGAGGGAUGGUAUCUUGUUGCCUUCAGGGCUUGGCUGAGCCCAGGGUCGAGAGCAUUUUCAGAUAGAUGCCUGCUAACACACCAAACACGUCACUCCUUAACAAGAUCUCCCUUGUGCCAGGGCUUGAGCUGAGCUCCAGGGAGUGAGAGAAAGGGGACCUAACAGACUUGUGGGAGACGAGCGUGAAGACAAAGCAAUGACCCCAGAUAGGCCAGUCGCAAAUGCCAGGAAAGAUCCACGGACCCUGGAGUUUCACCUGGACCUUGAGAAACAGAAUUUGAAUAUUGUGGAGAUUAACAAAACAAAACACCACAGGAGCAAAGGUCCUGAGUGAAGCUGGCCCUUUGGGGCUGGUGUAUCUGGUCAGCUGGUAGGCAUGGAGGGCCCACCCCACGGGGAGAAGCCAGGCAGAGAAAGAAGGCUGGAGGCGGCCGGAAAAGACGGAAAAGACACAGGUGUCAGGCGACGUUUGAAUUGAUUUUCAGCACUAGGGAGCCAUCUCUGAUCAGGGAGUGGAGUGAGCAGAAAUGCCUUCUGGAGGAGGCCUUGAAACCACCUUUGCAAAAAUGGUAUCAGUGAGAAAAUUAUGACAGUGAAAGAGAUCUCAGCUAACCUACCCCCAAUCUUUCCUUUCCCUUCCUUAUUCCUGGGUAUUGGGCCGAGCUAACUUUGAAGACAUUUAGGCUGUAGUUUAAAUGGUAACAGGCCUUGUCCCAAAACGCAGCUGCUUUUGUAAAGCUAAUGAGAGGCCAUCAGGCCUGGGGGAGUAGAGGGCCCUGACUCCUGCUAAGGCGCAGACAUAAAAGACUGUCAGCCACGAUGCCAGAGGUCAGAAGACAGGCAACUUCCCUAAUUACUCCUGCAAAUAAUGCCAAUGUUGUGAACCUAAGGUCGGCCUUCCGAGAUACCUUUUCAGGCCUUUUGCAUGUCUGACACCCAUGGCUCCACCUGGACCCGCCAACCUUGCCCCUGUGGCCCCACCCAGAAGUGACUCAGCACCCAGGAGGACAGCUUCGACCCCCUAAGAUUUCAUCUCUGCCAACAGCAAGCACCUGUUACCUGGCCACCCCCAACUCUUCCCCCAAACUGCCUUUGAAAAACCCCUAACCUACAAGCUUUGAAGAUAAUUUCAGUACUAACUCUGUCUCCCACAUGGCACGGCGGGCCUUGGGUCUGUUCAAUUCUUUCUUUACUGCAAUUCCACGACCUUUCUUCAUGCAGUGGGCAGGAAGAACUCCUCCAGUGAUUACAGCCUGGGGUGCAGGGUCUGGAUGGACGGAGCAGCACCUGGAGAGGGCCGUUAACCCUCUGUUGUCCAUGUGUGGCUAGGCGAGGGCUGCAGCCAGACCCAUGGCCUUAUCUGCCUGCAGGGCCCGCCUGAGCCCUCAGUGACAGACACAGGUUUCUAAGCCAACCCAGAGGGGAUGCAGAGCCCUCCCUUUGGAGAGUUGAGAUCCUGCUGAACCUAGGAAAGUACUGAAACACCAGCAGAGAGCUCACAGAGCAGCCAUGGCCAGGGCUCAGGCACUGCCUGCGGCCCACCCUGGAGCUCCCACGCCCACCUGUCUCAUCUUUCCAGAACUGGCCCAUCUCUGCAGAGUUGGCAGCAGGUCCUCCUGCCAGCUGAGAGCCAGCUCCAGGACUCCUUGGCUUUUUCCAGGCAGAGCCCAAGGCCCAGGUGCCAAACCCGUGUCCCAGCUCUUCUUGGCAGGCCUGGCCCUUGUUUGUCUUUGGGUUUUUCAACUUUUUAUUUUGGAAUCAUUACAGACAAGUUGCAACGAUAGUACAGAGAGUUCGUUCCCAUGUACCCUCACCCAGCUUCCGCUAGUGUUAACGUCUUACAUAACCGUGGUACACUUGUCAAAGCAAAGAAAUUAACAUUGGAACAAUACUAUUAAUUGAACUACAGACUUUAUUUGGAUUUUAGAGUUUUUCCUUAAGGGACAUUACAGUGUCAUUUUUCUUGCCUAGGCCCAAUCCCGGUUGCCACGUUGCAUUUAGUUGUCACGUCCUUUGGUCUCCUUUCACCUGGGACCACUUCUCAGGGUUUCCUUGCUUCUUAUGACCUUGACAAUUUUUUUUAAAUUAUGGUAAAAUAGAUACGUAACAUAUUGCUAUUUUAACCAUCUUUAAGUGUAUAAUUAAGUGGCAGUAAUUGCAUUCACAAUGUUGUGAAACCAUCAUCACUAUUUCCAAAACAGAAACUCUGCCCCUUAACCAGUAACUCUCCACUCCCCUCCUCCCAGGUACCUUUUUUUUUUUUCUUUUGCGACAGAGUCUUGCUCUGUUGCCCAGGCUGCAAUGAUCUUGGCUCACUGCAACCUCCACUUCCCAGGUUCAAGCAAUUCUCCUGCCUCAGCCUCCCGAGUAGCUGGGAUUACAGGUGCCUGCCAACAUGCCCAGCCAGUUGUUUGUAUUUUUAGUAGAGACGGGGUUUUGCCAUGUUGGCCAGGCUGGUCUCGAACUCCUGACCUCAGGUGAGCCACCCACCUCGGCCUCCCAAAGUGCUGGGAUUAUAGGCGUGAGCCACCGCACCUGGCCCCAGGUACCUCUUAAGAGGCUUAGAGGAGCCCCUACCACAGCCUCAUGCCCAAGAAAGAGGUCUUGUUGUUUCUGGCCAGAAUUGGUCCUUCCAGACCCUAAAGCUACACAAAGAAGCCUGCAGGAGUCGCUCCCUUCCUUAUGGUGUCCAUGGUGGGCACGAAUCCUUGAUCCUUAGCAAAAUGCAUACUCACUAAGGGUAGAGAGAAGUAGAAAGUCCCCAUCCUGCCCCCUUCUCCUGUGUUGGCUUUUGUUUGUUUGUGUUUGUUUGUUUGUUUUCUGAGAUAGGCGCUUGCUCUGUCAGGGCUGGAAUGCAGUGGUGCAAUCACGGCUCACUGUAGCCUUGACCAACCCCCCACCCGGGCUCAAGUGAUCCUUGGGCCUCAGCCUCCUGAGUAGCUUACGCACCACCACACUCAGCUAAUUUUUAAUUUUUUUUUUGUAGAGACUUGGUGUCCCUGUGUUGCCCAGGGUGGUCCUGUACUGGCUUUUUAACAAAGGCUGAGACACCUUAGACAUAGCUACUGACAGCUCCCUGGCUGAAGUCCGAACACCCAGCACUAGCAUUUCUCUUUGUGGGGUCAAUGUGGGGUUCUCAGAGGAGUCUACCCAGGCAGAGCACCCUAGAUAGAGGUGCCCACUGCCCACCGGCCCCAGCUGUUAUCACCAUCGUGGUAGUCAUGCAGACGAGAGUAUCACUCUGCAUAACUGCAGUCCCAAAUUGGGGAUGCCAUCCUCAACAGGCUGUCUCCAAGGGCACACUGGACACAGGAUGGCCUCAAAGCCAGGGGUGUGAGACCAGAGCCCGCACCAUGCGGGCCUCUGCCACCUUGUAACAGGCAUGGGACAGCAAUGUGCCUGGCUUCCUGCCCCCAGGGCCACAGCCUUCUGGCCACAAUCAGCAGACUCAGCCCUGCCACAGAUCCGGGCACUCAGGACCCGGGCGCCCGUUGCCAGACUCCUGUCAUCGGUCUCCAGCCACCUGUCCAGACACUCGUGCACCCCGAUGGAACGUACUUGCUGCUUCCUCCCCUUUCCCUUACAAAAUAUCCUUCUAUAACUCUUCAUGGCACCAAACCUUUUACCAGUAUAUGCAGAGCCUGUUUGUCUCCGAAUCCAGUUUAGCUUUCCCAGUACAGUGACCAACUCAUCUCAGUUUACUCAGGACUUCCCUGGUUUUCACACGGAAAGUCCUGUGUCCUGGGCAGCCCCUCAGUCCCAGGAAACCAGGAUGGUUGCUCACCCUAUUUCCCAGCCUCUGCACCUACCAAUCCCCACCGGGAAAGCCCAGAUUAUUCACACCUCCACGUAGCCAUCUCUCCUGACCUCCAGCCUUCACAAAUGCUGUUCCCUCCACCUGAAUGCCCUUCCUCAUCUUUGACUAUCAAAAGCCAAUGCAAUGUUCAAGUCCAGCUCCUCUGUGAGGGCUUCCUGGUCCCCACCCUGGAGUCAGAGCUCCCUCCUCCAUCCCCCUGGGGCUCACUUUGAAGCUCCAAAGGGAAGGGCCUCAGGGCUGGGGCAAGGCAUGGAUCCCCCUGAGUGUGCAAAGCGUCAGAAUCAGUAACUGGCACAGCUCCAGCUGCCUCCCUCUCCUCACCCAGUAGUGAGCAACACGAGGGCAGAGACGGCUGGUUUUACCCCCUGUUACACAUCAGGUGCUCAUUAAUACUGUAUUCCCAACCUCCUCCAGCUGUGUUUGUCGGCCCCUCGGGCCUCAUGUUGUUGCUCUGGCACCCCAGGGGCUCAGGUGGAGCCACGGCCAGGACAGGCCUCACCAUUGGCAAGGGCACUCAAGCUCCCAGGUGGACUCCCAACCUAUCCAGGCACUACAGCCAAGGGUAAGAGCCCUGGACUGGGGCCGACCUGCUUCCAAUGACCCACCGUCCAACCUCGCCUUACCUUAUCCGUAGGAGCCAUUUGACAAGCUCUUGUUGAACAAAUGCUACACAUGAACACAUGGGCUGUGUCCUGAAGCUGGAUGUGCAGUCUUGAAGGAAUCCUACGCUUCAUGAAUGAGGAUUUGACAUCUGGCAGAGGUCUUUAUGAACACAUUUAUGAUCAUCCUUCAAAGCAACCACAUGAAAUGGGCCAGGGGCUUGUUCUCUUUUAGCAGACAGACGGGUUGAGUCACCACAAGAUGCUGUUAUGGUUUAAAUGUGUGGAGCUAUAUAUAUACAUACACACAUACACAUGUAUAUAUCAAUCAAGCUAUACUUAUCCCCAAUAACAGAGAGGAAAAAUAUAUUAUUAGAAUAAGAGCCGCAUAUUUUGGAAAACUUACCAUGUGCCAGAGACUGUUCUAAUUAUUUUAUAAACAUGUCUCUUGUGGUUUUCAAGAUAACUAUAGAAGGUAACUAUUAUUACUUUUUAACAAAUGAAAGCAAACCUCAGGUUAAGUGACUGGCCCAAGGUCACACAGCAAGCAGUGACAGAGCUAAGUUGCGCUGGCUCUAAAGACCAUGUGUUAUCAACAGCGUCCUCCUGCCUUCUUAUGAAAUGGAAUCCAUAUCAAACUGCUAAGCUUUGUUUUUAGCAAAUAACAUGACUGUCUGGGCUGUGGGCUUAAGGAACAGUGAGUUUGGGGGCAAAGGUCACCCUCUAAUAGUGCUUCAUAAUAUUUCUCCCAGAGAAAGACUCUGGAGCCAGGCAGAUCUGGAUCCAGAUUCCAGUUCUGCCACUUCCUAGCUGUGUCCUCUCACUGAGCUCUCAGAGGCCUCCUUGGCCCGCAUGCUCAGUGGAGUGUCUGGUUGGCCCCGCAGCCCUUGUGUCCAGAUCUGCUGGGCGACACAGUGCCUGGCUGUGCCCUGCAGAGGCUUUCCUGUCCCUGGCUCCCAUGCUUCCCCUGAGGAGAGCAGGCGAUGGGUGUCAGCUUAUGUGAGCCCUUUGGUUGCAUGGAUCGGGUGAAAAACAGACAGAGCUGAAGAAUUUGAACUGAGAUGUCAAUUGUGGAGCAGGAUUACUCAUAGCAGCCACCGCCCACUAGGCCAGAACACCUUCGUUUAAACAAACCAACAUCCCAGGGGACAGUGCCUGUUGAGCAAGCUGCUGAGAGCCCUUCACUAGUGCUGAGUCCUCAGGCCUGCAGGGGACACUCCACAUCUGACCCUGCAGGAGAGCGGUGUCCAGGAGCAGGCACCUCAGAUCCAUCCAAGUCACACAGGGAGGCCAGAAGGGCAGCGGGGACACUGAACGCUCUACACGUCCUGAGGUCCCUGACCUCAUAGGCUGGAGGGGAGCAUUUGCUUUGUCUUGUGGAAAGUCCCCAAGUGGAUGGGCUAACAAUCGAUUCCAGUUGCACCCACGCUGCUAACUCUGGCCAUGUUUCCUAUACUUCCGUUCCUGUGAUCCAUCUCUUGCCCCUUCCAGAUCAGACAGUGACCUCCCGGGCCUCCUGGGGAUGCAGUUGUCCUCCCUGCACUCAGAUCUGGAGCUGCUGCUUCCUAGCGGAGGAGUCAGCCUACCGAGCCAGGCCGUUGUCAAGCCCUGAGCCCUCCCCACUUCCGCCUCUGCCCGCUUUCCUGUCCCAGCUGUGAGCCUCUCCGGGGACUCAUUUAAACUGAAGACAAUUGCCUCAGAUAAAGAACAACUGGCCUCCUCCCUAUGUGGCUAAAAUUAUCAAAAACCGAAGAGGGCGUUGCUGACCUCAGCCUUCCCCAGCCUUUCUCCUGCCUUGGUCCACUUGAAUAUCCCUCUGGGAGCCUGUGACAGCUGCCUACGUGGGACCCCACACAGAAACGGGGCUGAAGAAGGCAGUCCCAGCCUCGCAAGGCAUUCAGUUCCUGCAGUGUCUGCAGCCAAAUCCCAAGAUAGAGCCAGUCUGCUUGGUUCCCUGGCCCCAGGUUUCUCAGAGCUCCUCCGGCAGCCCAGGAGGCUGAGCUGCACUGCCUGCAUUUCCUGGCUUCACAUCACGUACACAUAGAGCUUGGGGCCCGGGCAACCAUGGCAUGGAAGCCCAGACCACCUAAAUUCUUCCUUAGGACCACCAGUGCCAUUGCCUCAGCCAUAACCCCCUGAGACUCCUCGCGGACCAGCAUGGCGACUGGUCCCACAACCAUCUCCAUGCCUGCUUCCUCUUCCCCAUUCAAGCUUCUCAACAUCUGUCAUUCUUGGUGUUAGCUAUAUCCCAGCUCCUGUAUUAUUCCAUUGCAUCCAGAAUGCUUUGAGGAAGGAAUGUCAUAGACCCCCUUUUUUAACCCCCUCUUCCCAGAGAGAUGUGCUCAGGAAUAGGUGCCCAACAGGAAGUAUUUGAUUGAGAGCUUAUUUGUCCCUCCAGGAGAUAUUCAAGGAGAGCCCCCAUCCAGACCCCAAGCGAGAAGAGCUACCGUGUCUCACAGGGCCCACAGCCCAUCACCCACAUCAUCCCACGGAGGGCGGGGAUUAUGCCCAGUGUGCAGAAGGGUUGACAAAGGCCAGGUAGGGGAAGUGGCUGGCUCUGCUUACAUGGACCCAAGACUCACUCCAGAACCCCUGACCUUCCGCUGAAGGAUCUUUGCACCAACUCUCCUGGCCCCAGUGGGUCUGGCUCACCAGAAGUUAGGCCUGGAAGGGAGGAGGCUGGGUGGGGGGACAUAGAAGGCAAAAGCAGCAGUGUCCUCACAUGGAACUGUUCCUCCAGGUCCUUUCCCUGGGACCCCUCCCUGGAGAGCUCUCCCUGCUCUCUCUGGCUUCCUUUCCCUUCUGUCAACCCUAAUAGCAUAGGUUUUGGUGUCAGGCAGUCCUGCGUUGGAAUCUCAGAUUCCCAGGGACAGUCAUGAUUUAUACGUGUUGUCCCGGUAUACUAAUACAUCAAGGCUCCUUGUCACCCUCAAACAUGCGCAUUAGGACCAUGCAUCAUGUGUCCCGCUUACAAAGACAGAAGGCAAGGUCUGUGGACAGCUGGAGGAUGACCUAGUUAGGGAGCCUCUAGGAACCCAUCUAGUUCUGCGAUGGAGGGGAACAGAGAAUGGGGUGUUUCCCUGAUGACCCUGCUGUGGAGGAGCUGGCUGCUUCUGCAGGGAGAUGCUGCAGCCCCAGAAGGAAGCCCUGGCCAUGUGUCUCAAGUUGCUUUGCAAAACAAGCACCAGGAAAGAAAAACAGCAUCUAUAUUUCCCUGAGGUGGGCCAGCAUCCAGAGGCUGAAGGCACCUGGGGAUAGGGACACUACAUCACACACUUCAGGGGGUGCCAGUCAUGUCACGGUCUGUGUGAACGGUGCCUCCUGGGAAUGUACAGCUCCCAGCCUGCUCACUGCAAAGCAGGAAUUGGUGAGCUGUGACUAGAUGAUGUCAGAGAGCAAGAAUAAGUAAGGACCAGGAAAGCUACAAAAUAUAGAAGACUACAUCUUUUUUAAAUUAAUUAAUUAGUUAAUUUAUUUAUUUAUUUAUUAUGUUUUGAGACAGAGCCUUGCUCUGUUGCUCAGGCUGGAGUGCAGUGGUAUGAUCUCUGCUCACUGCAACCUCCAUCUACCAGGUUCAAGCAACUCUCCUGCCUCAGCCUCCUGAGUAGCUGGGAUUACAGGCGCUCAUCACCAUGCCCAGCUAAUUUUUGUAUUUUUAGUAGAGACAGGGUUUCACCAUGUUUGCCAGGCUGGUCUCAAACUCCUGACCUUGUGAUCCAUCUGCCUCAGCCUCCCAAAGUGCUGGGAUUACAGGCAUGAGCCACCAUGCCCAGCCGAAAGCCUACAUCUUUAAGGAGAGGAAUCAUUCUGUCUGGGGAGGAACUCCUUUAAAUCAGUUCAACUCAACUCAUAUGAACAAAUAUUGAUCAUGCAAUUACUGUGCGCUCUGCUGGGCAAGGCCAUUAUGGUGGGGGUGGCGGUGGGGUGAUCAGGCAUCCUGAUCAGGCAGGGGUGAUCAGGCAGGCGGUGGGGUGAUCAGGCAUUGAGAAGCUCAUAGGACAGGAGGGGAGUGCGCAGGGUCUGUCCCUUCCUCUCCCCAGGCAGA
rnacentral:lncRNA from 1 species